UCGUGAAGCGAUUCUGUCUGGUUAAUUCCGAUAACGAACGAAACUCUAGCCGAUUAUUAAGUCCGUCGAUGACAUACGUCGUCGGCGCAUUGGACUUCUUAGUGGGAGCAGUGGCGCUCGGUGGCCACGCGAUAUGGAGUAAUAACA
rnacentral:rRNA from 1 species